rnacentral:rRNA from 1 species
AGUGAACGCUGGCGGUAGGCCUAACACAUGCAAGUCGAACGGCAGCACAGUAAGAGCUUGCUCUUACGGGUGGCGAGUGGCGGACGGGUGAGGAAUACAUCGGAAUCUACUUUUUCGUGGGGGAUAACGUAGGGAAACUUACGCUAAUACCGCAUACGACCUACGGGUGAAAGCAGGGGAUCUUCGGACCUUGCGCGAUUGAAUGAGCCGAUGUCGGAUUAGCUAGUUGGCGGGGUAAAGGCCCACCAAGGCGACGAUCCGUAGCUGGUCUGAGAGGAUGACAGGCCACAUGGGAACUGGAAAACGUCCCAGAUCCCACGGGAGGGCAGCGGGGGGAAAUUUUGGACAAGGGGGGAAAGCCUGUUCCAGCCAAACGGCGUGGGUGAAGAAGGCCUUCGGGUUGUAAAGCCCUUUUGUGGGGAAAGAAAAGAAGCAGGUUAAUACCCCGCUGUUCUGACGGUACCAAAAGAAUAAGCACCGGCUAACUUCGU